rnacentral:misc_RNA from 1 species
GAUGAAGAACGUAGCGAAAUGCGAUAAGUAAUGUGAAUUGCAGAAUUCAGUGAAUCAUCGAAUCUUUGAACGCACCUUGCGCCCUUUGGCUAUUCCGAAGGGCAUGCCUGUUUGAGUAUCAUGAACACCUCAACUCUCAUGGCUUGCUGUGAUGAGCUUGGAAUUUGGGGGUCUUGUUGGCUUGUGAGCCAGCUCCUCCUAAAUGAAUUAGCUUGCCGGUGUUUGGUGGCAUCACAGGUGUGAUAACUAUCUACUCUUGUGGUUUCCCAUCAGGUAACCUCCAGUGAUGGAGGUUCGCUGGGGCUCAUAAAUGUCUCUCCUCAGUGAGGACAGAUUUUGACUGUUUGAUCCCAAAUCAGGUAGGACUACCCGCUGAACUUAAGCAUAUCAAUAAGCGGAGGA